rnacentral:misc_RNA from 1 species
CAAAAUAACAGAAGACAUAAAUAACACAUCCAUAUCUCCCUUUCUAAUACUCUUCAUAUUCACAAAUCCAGCCGACAAAGACCUUACAAGCAGGUAUCCUUCUCGAAUAAAACCUCUCACCACCCACCCAACCACCCUCUUUUCCUUUUUCUGGUUGGAGAAAGAGAUGCCUAGACAAGUAGAUGUCACAAAAUCAUAACGACAAUAUUAACAAAAUAAUACUACAGCUGAA